rnacentral:lncRNA from 1 species
GGGAAGAGGCUAGCAGAGGGAGAGAGGAUCAUGGGGAGGGGAGGUGAAGGCACGGAGAGUAACAAGAGAAAAUAUGUCACAAAGAAGUGACUCAUGGGAGGGGUGUCACAGGAGGAAGGUCACAGGAGGAGGGGGUUCGUUGUGGAGGGAGGGUCACAGAGGCUGACAGUCACACUGAGCAGGGAUUAUUAAUGGGGAAGAGGAACCACACAUUAAAGAGAAUGUCACAGGUGAGGGGGAGGGGUCUUAGCAAAGGUGGUCAAGAGGGAGGGAAGGUCAAAAAGGAAGGGGUUAUGGGGAGGUGAUGAGGAAGAGAAUGUCACAUAGGGAAGAGGAGGUCAUGGAAGCAUGAUGUCAUAGGGUGGGAGGGAGGGUGACAGGGAAGGGCAGCCAGAAGACCUGAGGGCAACACAGAAGUGUAGGCUCUGGGUGCCUGUCUACAGCGCUGUAAAGUCCUGGUGGUUGCCCCUGGGUUCCCUCCAGUGCCAGGAAGCUUUGGAAAGAAUGCUGAAACCCUCAAGCCCCUUCCUGCUCUUGCCUCUAGGGUCCAGGAGAGAGCAGAGGCCUGUAGGCCUGCAGACACCAAGUCCCCAGGGCUUCCAAAACACGGGCUUCUUCUACAGGUGGGCCUGAUGACCUACUGAGAGGCAGCCAAUGAAAUUUCACCCAUAGCUAAUUAGCUGCCUGGGCUAUGUCUGCUCUGACAAGGCAGUGUGCUGGGAUUGACUAUUCAUGUCUGCCAUGGGUGCAGCAGUGGGUCGUAGGCUACAUUAGUGAAGCUCAUCAAGUAGAAAAUAUGAGGAAAAGACAGUCGUCCCCAGACAGCCAGUUCCAGCGGGAUGACCUAGAGUGGCCUUUGCCAUCUGUUGGUCCCAUUGAAACAUCACGGGAUUUGAUAUCUCAACCAGAGUCACUAAACAGAUCAUACCAGGACGGUUGCCAGAAAAGCACCUAGCCUGCAGGUCAUUUGUCUGCGUGACCUUGGGUUUCUGAAGCUGUGAAAUGGGCUCAUCCAUCUUGCCAGAACUUGGGGAAUGUUAAGGGUGAGUGAAAUAAACAUUUGAACCCAAAGAACA